rnacentral:misc_RNA from 1 species
GAUGAAGAACGUAGCAAAAUGCGAUACUUGGUGUGAAUUGCAGAAUCCCGUGAACCAUCGAGUUUUUGAACGCAAGUUGCGCCCGAAGCCUUUUGGCCGAGGGCACGUCUGCCUGGGCGUCACGCAUCGCGUCGCCCCCCACAAUUCUCCGUAAAGGGAACAUGUGUUUUGGGGGCGGAUAUUGGUCUCCCGUGCUCAUGGCGUGGUUGGCCGAAAUAGGAGUCCUUUCGAUGGACGCACGAACUAGUGGUGGUCGUAAAAACCCUCGUCUUUUGUUUCGUGCUGUUGCUCGCAAGGUAAACUCUUUAAAAACCCCAAUGUGUCGUCUCUUGACGACGCUUCGACCGCGACCCCAGGUCAGGCGGGACUACCCGCUGAGUUUAAGCAUAUCAAUAAUCGGAGGA